GGAGCAGGAAGCAGGGAGAAGUGACAUGUGACUUUGAGAUCAAAGCUGUUUUCUACACCCCUGUGUACUUCAUGAAUGAUGAAGUAAUUUUCUUGCACAGAUGACACUGUCAUAGAUCUAUAGAAAUACCAUUGGCCUGACACUGACUGAAAAGGGGGAAGAAUCAGAAUAAUUUGUAAGGAUAGUAAAUAGUAUUUAGAGCCUACAGUGCCAGUGUGAGCAGUGUGUGCAGUGUACACAGGGCCUUCAUAGCUGCAUAAGAUGUGGUAUCUUUAACUGAAAGGAAAAACAAAGGGAAGAAAUGCUCUGGAGUUCUAAUUACCUAUGGAAGCCCCACAAGGUUACUGCAGAACAUGAGUACCAGAAUUUAAUGGAAUUUGGUGGAAAUCUCCAAUGACAAAUGUAGUUUAAAG